CAGACGGGUGAGUAACGCGUGGGAAUCUACCCAAUUCUUCGGAACAACUGAGGGAAACUUCAGCUAAUACCGAAUGUGCCCUUCGGGGGAAAGAUUUAUCGGAAUUGGAUGAGCCCGCGUUGGAUUAGCUAGUUGGUGGGGUAAAGGCCUACCAAGGCGACGAUCCAUAGCUGGUCUGAGAGGAUGAUCAGCCACACUGGGACUGAGACACGGCCCAGACUCCUACGGGAGGCAGCAGUGGGGAAUAUUGGACAAUGGGCGCAAGCCUGAUCCAGCCAUGCCGCGUGAGUGAUGAAGGUCUUAGGAUUGUAAAGCUCUUUCACCGGUGAAGAUAAUGACGGUAACCGGAGAAGAAGCCCCGGCUAACUUCGUGCCAGCAGCCGCGGUAAUACGAAGGGGGCUAGCGUUGUUCGGAUUUACUGGGCGUAAAGCGCACGUAGGCGGACUAUUAAGUCAGGGGUGAAAUCCCGGGGCUCAACCCCGGAACUGCCUUUGAUACUGGUAGUCUUGAGUUCGAGAGAGGUGAGUGGAAUUCCGAGUGUAGAGGUGAAAUUCGUAGAUAUUCGGAGGAACACCAGUGGCGAAGGCGGCUCACUGGCUCGAUACUGA
rnacentral:rRNA from 1 species